rnacentral:lncRNA from 1 species
UGAACCCAGACAUGUAUUGCUACUGAGCUGCAUCCCCAGCACUUUAUUUAUAUUUUGAGAUGGGUCUCACUGAAUUGUUAAGGGUCUUAUUAAAUUGCCAGGCUGGCCUCAUACCUGUGAUAUUCCUGUCUCAGCCUCCCAGAUUGCUGGUAUUACAGGUGAGUGCCACAACACCCACCUACAGUUUGCUACAGGUUCAGGUUGUUAUGAGGCCAAGAGCACAUACCCACUUGCAGGAGUGGAAUCCUAGUCAUUUGGCUUACAGCUUAGUGAUGUCUCCAUUACACCAUGUUAGGUAAAUCUAAUUUUUGUCCUUGGGUUGUUUUGCAUGAAUACUUCACCUAGUCAUUCACCUAACUUAUUGAUAAUUGUUUUUUAUACUUUCUGAUACACAUCUAGCUUUGGGAAUUUUAAUUUUAGGAAGCAAACCUUAAUGCCUUGGUGUUAAAAAAAAAAAUAGUAUGUUGGUGCAGGCAUGUAUUCCCCACUAUGAGGGAGGCUGAGGCAGAAGGAUCACAUCUUACUGUCUCAAAGUAAAAUUAAAAAAUUUGGGAUGUAGCUCAGUGCUAGAGUACUUUCCUAGCGCUUUUCCUAGCACUGAAAAGAAAUCUGUACUUUAUUGCUUCACUCUUGAUUAGGUAUUAGUAGCAAAUGAAAGAGUUACAAUGAAACUACUCAAGAGGCAUAAAUCCAUAUCAUGCUGAGUGUGGUGGUGUGCACCUAUAAUCCUAGCGGCUCAGGAAACUGAGGCAGGAAGAUCUUGAGUUCAAAGCCAACCUCAGCAAUGAUGAGGUGCUAAUAAGCAGCUCAGUGAGACCCUGUCUCUAAAUAAAAUACAAAAUAGGGCUAGGGAUGUGGCUCAGUGGUCCAAUGCCUCUUGAGUUCAACCCCUGGUUCCAAAACCCAAAACCAUAUCGUUUCCUACUUUUAUUUUUGGUACCAGGGACUGAAAUAAGGGACAUUUAAUCCUGAACCAUAUCUCCAACCCUUUUUGUUCGUUUGUUGUUUUGGAGACAUUGGUCCUAGGUAAUGUAGUGAGAAGUUAAGUUCUCGCUGAGUUGCUGAGGCUGGCUUGAAACUUAAGAUCCUCCUGAGUCACUGGGAUUACAGGUGUACACCACUGAGCCUGGUUUAUAAUUUCCCACUUUUUGAUAAAUCUACAGCAUGAGGUCAUAUUCCCACUGAGUUUGUCCAAUAAAAACAGUUUUCAAAUAAGACUAUGAUUGUCCAUAAAUUGCUAAAGUAAUUGGGUUGUAUUUUAGCUUAAUAAGUUUGGGAAAAGAAAACCUAUGUAAAAAGAAAUUUUCUAACUACUUUUGGGCUUUUUCCCCUUUCAGGGACAAGACACUGCCACUGUACUCUUUUGUGACUUGAUCCACAAUUCAAGGCAGAAUACAUAAUGAUUUUUAUGAACAUUACACAACAGAAUUUUUGGCAGCAGUGAACAAAGAUGGGUCAUUAUUGUUUUUCUUGCCUUUGUUUUAAUCAUCACUUUGCAAUGAAUUAUUACUUCUGAAAUUUCAAAGUAUUUCCCUGUACUCUAGAAUUUGAAAAUGGUUGUACACUAUUCAAAAGCCUUUAUCUGCUUAUAAAUUUGCUAGCUUUACCAUUUUAAAUCAUCUUUCUUAAAUUUCCCUGAGAAUGCACCAUCACAUAUUAACCAAUUUCUCAGUUUUACUGGGUCUAUAACCUAUUGUUAAGUGGUUUCAGAAUUGUUGCAAGUAAGGCACAGAGGCUUUAAAGACUAACACCCUUCCUAAUCUUUAAAUCUAAUUUACAAAGCAUUGGAUUAACUUAAUUCCUAGCACUUUUCAAUUAACUUUAUAGCUUAAAGUAAAAUAUAUUUUCCAAACUACUGUGUUUAAUUUUUAAUGUAUUUUUAAUGGCUAAAGAAAGCACUAUGUGGGGCUGAGAUUGUAGUUUAUUCAAUGGUAGAGCACUUGCCCAGCAUGUGUGAGGCACUGGAUUCAAUCCUCAGCACUACAUAAAUAUAAGAAAAUAAAAUAAAGAUAUUAUGCCAUCUAUAACUAAAAAAAAUAAAGUACUAUGUAUUAUAUAAAUUUGAAAAAGCUAAUAAAAAUCAAAUAGCCACAGUCCUGUAAAGAAGUAGAU